ensembl:lncRNA
AAUACAAUAUGUUUCAGGAUGGUUGCUGGAAAAAUGAAAAAUAAAAAAUAUAAAAACAGGCCCUCAGAGGGCCCAAAGGACCUGAGGUCAAAACCACUUUGUCAGAAGAGCUGUGUGUCCCCAUAAAAGACACAACCUCCACCGAGAGAGCUUUCACUGUAAGUGAUAAAGGCAGCCCAAGGAAAUAUUUUGAUCCCCUAUUAUACUGACAAAGAACGGAGAAGGAGAUUAAGUGAUUUGGCCAGAGCUCUCCAGGAAAUCUGAGUCUACGAGUCCUCAGCUUUAAUGUGCAAGACCAUCUUUCCUCUGCUAGGAAACAGAUGUUAAAUUGGAUGUUAAUUUUGCCAUGCAACUUUUUUAGAGAACUCUGAAAGGCAAAGAGUCUCCAAGAAUCAUUAUUUUAGCAAGCUACCAGCGCAGCAGUCUUGCAUCUCAAAAGUAAUUUGUUCCAUCUUUGUUGGCAGG